AUUGAACGCUGGCGGCAGGCCUAACACAUGCAAGUCGAGCGGAUGACGGGAGCUUGCUCCUUGAUUCAGCGGCGGACGGGUGAGUAAUGCCUAGGAAUCUGCCUGGUAGUGGGGGACGACGUUUCGAAAGGAACGCUAAUACCGCAUACGUCCUACGGGAGAAAGCAGGGGACCUUCGGGCCUUGCGCUAUCCGAUGAGCCUAGGUCGGAUUAGCUAGUUGGUGAGGUAAUGGCUCACCAAGGCGACGAUCCGUAACUGGUCUGAGAGGAUGAUCAGUCACACUGGAACUGAGACACGGUCCAGACUCCUACGGGAGGCAGCAGUGGGGAAUAUUGGACAAUGGGCGAAAGCCUGAUCCAGCCAUGCCGCGUGUGUGAAGAAGGUCUUCGGAUUGUAAAGCACUUUAAGUUGGGAGGAAGGGCAGUAAGUUAAUACCUUGCUGUUUUGACGUUACCGACAGAAUAAGCACCGGCUAACUCUGUGCCAGCCGCCGCAGUAAUAC
rnacentral:rRNA from 1 species